rnacentral:lncRNA from 1 species
GCCUCAAGCCACGUCAUCAUUUAACAGAGGAAUUGACAGACAACUGACGGAAGGUAUGACAUUGCAACAAAUUCGAAGAUAAGGUAUGACAUUAAAACUUUUUAAAGACGAGGUAUGAAACUGUUAAUGACUCAAUAGUUGAGGUAGUUUUAUGUAAUUUACCCUUUUUUAAUCUAUCCAAAUUAUAAACAUGGACAAUGAAAUUAUGUUUUAAGUAAAAUCUAUAUAAUACAAAAUUGAGAUGUGACGUGAUAUUACCGUCAUACUACGCAAUAUAAUCCGCCAAUAACAUAAAGGAAUUUAACUAAACUAAACUCAAACGAAUUUCUUUCCUAUUCUUUUGUAAUAAAGUUCGAUUGACACGAAUAUUUUUUUCAUGUUGUUUUAGUUUAGAUACAAAAUUUAAAGAAGGUGUUAAAAAAAUAAGGGAUAAUGUGUCACUAAUAGGAAAUAAGCAUGUUAAUUGACACUUAAUUAACAAUUCAUUCAUCAACAACCUUAAUUUACAUAAUUUAAUUUAAAAUGUUAAUCUCUCUAACAUUAUCCAAAUUUAAAACAGAAUCUAGCCGUUAUGAGUUAACUACUUAACUUGUAGCUUUUAUCAUUUCUAGGGAUGUAGGCAAAUCAUUGUGAAUGCAUGAAUGAAACCUCCCUUAUUUACUUUCAUCAUGAAAUAACGAUAGAUUAACUUUAACAAGUCACGCACUUCACACACUUAUCAAGCGGCCAGCCCAAACAUCUUCCAUGUGCCAAAAUUUUAAAACAAAAAAGACUAUUUUGUUGGUCAAAACAUGAAAUUAAAACUAAAAAAAAAAAGGAUAUGGCAGGUGACAACAACCCAAAAAAUGGAAAAAGUCAACCCAACGGAGUG